rnacentral:rRNA from 1 species
AGCAGCCGCGGUAAUUCCAGCUCCAAUAGCGUAUAUUAAAGUUGUUGCAGUUAAAAAGCUCGUAGUUGAAUUUCGGGAUCGGCAUGUUGGUCGUGCCUUACGGGGUAUGAACUGGCAUCGUCGGUUUCUCACCUUCUGGAGAAUCGUGAUGCUCUUAAUUGGGUGUUACGUGGAUCCAGGACCUUUACCUUGAAAAAAUUAGAGUGUUUAAAGCAGGCAUUUUGCUCGAAUACAUUAGCAUGGAAUAAUAAAAUAGGACGGUUUGGUUCUAUUUUGUUGGUUUCUAGGAUCACCGUAAUGAUUAAUAGGGAUAGUUGGGGGCAUUAGUAUUCAAUUGUCAGAGGUGAAAUUCUUGGAUUUAUUGAAGACUAACUACUGCGAAAGCAUUUGCCAAGGAUGUUUUCAUUAAUCAAGAACGAAAGUUAGGGGAUCGAAGACGAUCAGAUACCGUCGUAGUCUUAACCAUAAACUAUGCCGACUAGGAAUCAGACGAUGUUAAUUUUUUAAUGACUCGUUUGGU